rnacentral:misc_RNA from 1 species
UCCGGUUUAGACCGGCGGUCUCCCUAGAGAUUUCAACUAAGGACAAGGGUUGCGCCCCUUGCGGGGACCACCCAUCUCUGGGCUUAGCACGGGAUGUCAAGGCCUGGUAAGGUUCUGCGCGUUGCGUCGAAUUAAACCACAUGCUCCACCGCUUGUGCGGGCCCCCGUCAAUUCCUUUGAGUUUCAACCUUGCGGCCGUACUCCCCAGGCGGGAUGCUUAAUGCGUUAGCUGCGCCACUGAUAAGCAUGCUUACCAACGGCUAGCAUCCAUCGUUUACGGCGUGGACUAC